GAAAAAGAACCUGAAACCGUGUACGUACAAGCAGUGGGAGCACAGGUUUACCUGUGUGACUGCGUACCUUUUGUAUAAUGGGUCAGCGACUUAUAUUCUGUAGCAAGGUUAACCGUAUAGGGGAGCCGUAGGGAAACCGAGUCUUAACCGGGCGUUAAGUUGCAGGGUAUAGACCCGAAACCCGGUGAUCUAGCCAUGGGCAGGUUGAAGGUUGGGUAACACUAACUGGAGGACCGAACCGACUAAUGUUGAAAAAUUAGCGGAUGACCUGUGGCUGGGGGUGAAAGGCCAAUCAAACCGGGAGAUAGCUGGUUCUCCCCGAAAGCUAUUUAGGUAGCGCCUCGUGAAUUCAUCUCCGGGGGUAGAGCACUGUUUCGGCUAGGGGGCCAUCCCGGCUUACCAACCCGAUGCAAACUGCGAAUACCGGAGAAUGUUAUCACGGGAGACACACGGCGGGUGCUAACGUCCGUCGUGAAGAGGGAAACAACCCAGACCGCCAGCUAAGGUCCCAAAGUCAUGGUUAAGUGGGAAACGAUGUGGGAAGGCCCAGACAGCCAGGAUGUUGGCUUAGAAGCAGCCAUCAUUUAAAGAAAGCGUAAUAGCUCACUGGUCGAGUCGGCCUGCGCGGAAGAUGUAACGGGGCUAAACCAUGCACCGAAGCUGCGGCAGCGAACGUAUCACCCAAGACAACUUUACGGAGUUGACGAUUGACGGAGCGAAGCGACGUCAAAGCGUUCAUUAAAGUCGAGUUGGCUUAGGGAUACGUUCGUUGGGUAGGGGAGCGUUCUGUAAGCCUGUGAAGGUGUGUCGUGAGGCAUGCUGGAGGUAUCAGAAGUGCGAAUGCUGACAUAAGUAACGAUAAAGCGGGUGAAAAGCCCGCUCGCCGGAAGACCAAGGGUUCCUGUCCAACGUUAAUCGGGGCAGGGUGAGUCGACCCCUAAGGCGAGGCCGAAAGGCGUAGUCGAUGGGAAACGGGUUAAUAUUCCCGUACUUGGUGUUACUGCGAAGGGGGGACGGAGAAGGCUAUGUUGGCCGGGCGACGGUUGUCCCGGUUUAAGCGUGUAGGUGUGUGUUCCAGGUAAAUCCGGUUCACUUUAACACUGAGGCGUGACGACGAGGCACUACGGUGCUGAAGCAACAAAUGCCCUGCUUCCAGGAAAAGCCUCUAAGCAUCAGGUAACACGAAAUCGUACCCCAAACCGACACAGGUGGUCAGGUAGAGAAUACCAAGGCGCUUGAGAGAACUCGGGUGAAGGAACUAGGCAAAAUGGUGCCGUAACUUCGGGAGAAGGCACGCUGACACGUAGGUGAAGUGAUUUACUCAUGGAGCUGAAGUCAGUCGAAGAUACCAGCUGGCUGCAACUGUUUAUUAAAAACACAGCACUGUGCAAACACGAAAGUGGACGUAUACGGUGUGACGCCUGCCCGGUGCCGGAA
rnacentral:rRNA from 1 species